AGGGUUCGCGCGCCGGCUCUGGCCCCUCCUGCACGCCCUCGGCGGCCGGCGCAUGCGCGGUCCACGGGAGCAGCAUGGCGGCGCCAAGGGCGCGGGCGUCGGCGUCAGCGGGUGAGCGCCAGGAUCACCGAGGCUGCGCUGAGGAUGCGUUUGUCCGUUCCUCCCCUGGGGAUGCUGUUGACUGCACCCGCUUCAGGCUUGUGUGGGCUGACUCUGCCUGGUCUUGCUCUCCUCGCAGCAUGGGAGCAAAAAGGGACAGGCGGAGCGCUUACUGGCUGUGGGCAGGAGCUGCUGCAGCUGUAGCUGGAGAGGCCAGAGAAAGGUAAAGAUGAAGAAAUUGAAGGCCAUCUGGCCGGCAACUGCCUCCUGCUGCAGGCAAGAGAGAGCCUGCUUCUCCAGGUGAGGAAGGAUCCCUCAUUGUAGUCCACAGCAGGCCAGGCUGCCAACGUGCACUGUAGGGUCUGUAUGCGCCACCAACAGUGCCGUACGGCCACAUAGUGCACAAGCGAGCGAGGCUACGUGCUCCCUCUUCCUCCCUCCCUUUCUCUCUCUCUUGUUCUACUGCUCCCUUUUCUUUUUCUAUCUGUACUUUUGUUCUGCUCCCUCUCCCUCUUUUUUUUUAAAUCCUCUGUCUCUGUCCUGCAUCCCAUUGCUGUUUUUUCUUUUUCCAUCUCUUUGCCCUGAUCUGCAUCCAUCUCUUUUUUUCCACAAUUUCUCUGGCUUGUUCCGUGGCAUUCUUUUCCUCUCUGUGCCUGUAUGUGCUGCUCCAUGUCCCUGCCUUCCUAUCUUCCUCCCUCCUUCUUUGCUUUCUCUCUGUAUCCCUUCGUCUUGCUCACUCACUGUUUUUUUUUCAUUCUAUAUCUCACUGCCCCUGUUCUCCUUCCUGUUCAUCUCUUACUCUCUCUGACCCUUUGUGCUGCUCCCUUGCAUCCUACUCCCUCCCUCCCUCUCUCUCUAUCACACUGUCUUGCUCCUGAUCCCGCUCUUUCUUUCUACCCUUCUGAUGUGUGUAUCCCCCAACCCCUCCUUUUACAUGUCCUGGUCUUUCUACAUCCUUCUGUUAUUCUCCUUCUCUUCCUCUAUCCUGCUGCCCAUCGCUAUUUUUUUUUCCUCCUCCAUCCCUUUGUCCUGCUCCCUGUCCUUGUCGAUCUUUCCCUUUGUUCUGCUUUCAGUCUUUGUUUUCUCUAUCUGACUGUCCUUUUCCCUGUACCUUCUUCUCUCUGCUCCUCAGCCCUGCUCCCUCAUCUUACUCUUCUUUCUGCCAUGCCUCUCUUUUUCUCUGGACCCUCUGUGCUGUUCCCUUUCUUUUUUUUUCUCCAAUUGUCUGUUGUCUUACCUGUCCCUCUCUGUCUCUCUUGCUCUGUCCUGCUCCCUGUCCCUAUUAUUUCUUGCUUCACCUCUCUGUCCCUGUUUUUUCUGUCUUGCUCCAUUUCCCUGUCAUUUUCUCUGCUGCUCUCGUUGGCUUUCUAUCCCAGUGUCCUGCUCCCUGUCCCUCUCUCUUUUGCAGUAUCCCACUUUCUGGCUCCCUGUCCCUCACCUGUUUUCUAUAUGCCUCUGUCCUUCAUCCUGUCUUUCCUUGUCCCUCUGUUCUGCUACCCAUCACUGUUGUCUUUUUUUCUCCAUCAUUCUGCCUUGGUCCUGUCACUCUCCUCCUCUCUCUCUCUAAUGUUUCUUUCUCCAUCCCUGCCCCACUCCCUGUCCCUUUUCUCCUAUGCUCUGUCCUCCAUCCUCCUCCUAACUUUUUUUCUGUGUAUGUCCAUACUGCUGCCUGUCCCAUCAUUUGUUGCUAUAUCCCCCUGCCCAGCUCGCUGUCCCAUUAUUCUCCUCUGUCCUGCUCCCUGGCCUUUUUUCUCAUCCUGCAGCCCAGCACUGGUUUUCCUUUCUCCAUCUGUUUGUCCUGAUCUUUCUCUCUUUUCCCCUCAAUCCCUCUGGCUUGUUACCUGUCUUUUUCUCUCCUUCCUGCCUUCUUUAUUCCUCUCAUUCAGUUUCUUUCUCAAUCAGUCUGUUCUGCUCCCUGCUCAUCAUUUUCUCUCUCUUUCCCUCUGUCCUGCUCCCUGACCCUGUUUUUCUUCUGCCAUGUCCUUGCAGGGCUCCUCAUCCCUUUUUAACUGAUUUCUCCACCUCACUGUCUUUUUCCCUGUACCUUUCUUUCUCUGCUCCUUAGUCUUUCUCCCUAAUUUUAUUUUUCUCUUUCUGUUCCUCUAUCCUGUUCCCCAUUGCUAUAUUUUCAUUCUCUGUAUCUGCUGCUCCAGUAAUGACUGCUGAGUUGUCCCGGGGGAAGGGCGAGUGUACAGGCACUGAGCCCCAGAGCAGACUCACUCCUGGGACUUACAUGCAUUAAUGAAUAAACACUUGCUGUCUCCUUUCCACUCAUGGCUCUGUUUGUAGUCCUUUGUACUUGGUGAGUGGCUGUCAUAAUGUCCAGGGUAGCAGGUUACGUAGUGGGUGUAAGGGGCCAUGGCUGGGGCUGUGGAGGAGCCCCGGGGGGGCCAGCGAGACUGAUGGCAAUGGCCCCUCUGUGUAAAAGGGCUGCAGCCCCAGGGUGUGGUGCUGCUGGGGCAUGCCUGCCUGAGAGUGCUGACAAGCUGCGAGGAUGUUUCCAACAGACAGGUUGACAGUCACUUGGAGUCAGGCCCCAUUAGGGCAGCUCCCAGGGAUUUUCUGAGAGCUGGUGGAGAGGAAGCAGGAAGAGGGGCAGGAGAUGGCUGCCCCCACCCCUCCAGGUACCUGGAGGCCUUCCCACUCCCUGGAAAAGGCCCUGAGUGCCUCACCAACUCAACAAAACUCCAGCCCUGCUCACCCCAUGCAGCUGCCCCCAGCUCUAGCACCUCCCCUGAAGCCUGUCCCAUAGCCACUGACUGGCCACAAACCCUGUUCUCAUGGCAUCAGGGUGGCCCUUGAAUAUGCUUUAUUGCACCAUAAGUGCAGGUGCCAUUAGCAUCAGUCUGGGGAAAGAGCGGUGUCUCCAGAAGCUGCUGCAGAAGGAGGGGUUCCUGCCUGAGGAGAACUACAGUCAUCACUGUGGAUAAGAGUUGCUUGUUCUUUCCCUUUCCUAGAGGCAGCAUUGAAGACUUAGUUGUCGAUUCCUCUCUGGGGAUGUUGUUGACUGUGUCUGGCUCAGGUUUGUGUGGGUUGCCUUUGGCCUCAUUCUCCUAGCGGCAUGGGCGAAAACGGACAGCUGGAGACUUACUGGCUGUGGACAGGAGCUGCAGUGGCUGAAGCUAGAGAGGCCAGAAGAAGGUAAAGCAACUGAAGAAUAAAAUAAAGGGCAGACAGGAGACAGCCUGCCUCUCCAGGUGAGGAAGGAUCCCUCUUAGUGCAGUUCUCAGCAGAUCCGAUCACUAAUGUGCACAGCAGGGUCUGUAUGCAUAACCAAAAGCACACUACAGAGAUGUAGUGUGUGCAUGUGGGAGGCUAUGUAUUUGGGAAGCCUCAUGUUGUAAGAGCUGUAAGACACCAAUCUAUGCUUUUAGGUGGAUGACAGUCAAGUGACCAGAGCUACAGAGGAGGAGUGGGGGCAGAGAGAGACAAAGACAUGUCCAAACUGUCAAAUUCUCCCAACACCUCCAAGAGCGGGAGCUGCAGGAUGUUUUCAUUAUGGGUGAGCAGUGCUUACACAGAAUCAAGGUCUUUUCUGCUUCUCACUCCACCCCACCAGCAAGGAGGCUGGGGCGGCACAAGAAGUUCGGAGGGGACACAGCUGGGACAGCUGAUGCCAACUGACCCAAGGGAUAUUCCAGACCAUAUGACAUCAUGCUCAGCCUAUAAAGCAAUGGCGAUGCACCGGGGCUGGCAGAUGGCCAGGGCAUCGCUGCUGUUUCUGUGGUGCUGUACUGGACAGGCUGGAACUCCAGUGUGAACUCGAGUUGAAGGGACUGCGACCUGCGGAUGAGUUCAUGUGGGAGCAGGACACCCUGAAGUGUCUGUGGCCAUGGAUAAGCCCAUGCCAGAGCAGGUACAUCUCAAAGCGUCUAUGGCCGCAGUUGUGUCUGUGCUGCAGCAGGUGUACCUCUGAAGAGAUUGUGGCCCAAGGAUAAGUCCACACUGCAGCAGGUAUUCCUUGAAGCAUCAGUGGCUGUGCUGGUCAUGCUGGAGUACCUCAAAGCGUGUGGCCAUGGAUAAGCCCAUGACAGAGCAGGUACACCCCUGGAGGGACUGCAGUCAUGGAUAAGGCCAUGUUGGAGCAGGUUUACUUCUGAAGGGACUGUGGCUGUGGGUAAGGCCAUGCUGGAGGAGGUACAUCUCCGAAGGCAUUGUGGCCCAUGGAUAAGGCCAUGCUGGAACAGGUGCACCUCAAGGCAACUGUGGCUGUGGAUAAGUCUCUGCCGCAGCAGGUAUACCCCUGAAGAGACUCCAGUCUGUGAAUAAGUCCAAGCCGGAGCCUGGGCAAGGUGAGGAGUUCAUUGCAAUGUUAAACCCUGUGGUCUGGUCCAAAGGGACCAGGGGUGGAGAUUGUAAUGGAAAUAACUUUAAAUUGUUGUAACCCAUGAUUUGAGUUGCAUGUUAUAGGAAUUAAUAUAGCAGGAACCAUCCGAACCAAUGGAGGCCAAGCCUUACAAGAAGCAGCACAAGCGCAGCAGCGACCUGACCUGAGCUGGCUUUGGUGCCCAGUAACUCCAUGCAACACACCACCUCUGCUGUCCUGAGUGACCACCGUAACAGGUGGAGCCCAAAGUCAUGGACUAAAUGAAUUCAAUGGACAUUUUGUGGAUGUUUUAUGGACAUUUUAGAGGGGCGGUCCAUAGACUAAGAGAGUAUCUGUAUGUUGUAUCAAAGGAUGGGAAGGGAGGUGGUGGUUAAUGAGGAUGUAUUGGAUAGCGUGGGACCUGAGCAUGACGUAAAUGGUGUGGAAUAAGGGGUGGAGAAUGUGCUGGUUUUGGCUGGGAUAGAGUUAAUUUUCUUCACAGUAGCUGGUAUGGGGCUACGUUUUGGAUUUGUCAGAAAACAGUGUUGAUGAUACAGGGAUGUGUUAGUUAUUGCUGAGCAGUGCUUGCACAGUGCCAAGGGCUGUUCUGCUCAUCACCCUACCCUGCCAGCAAGCAGCUGGGGAUGCACAAGGAGUUGGGAGGGGGACGCAGUUGGGACAGCUGACCCCAACUGACCAAAGGGAUAUUCCAGACCAUAUGAUGUCAUGCUCAGCAAUAAAACUCGGGGUGGAAGUUGGUUUUAUGAAGAUGGCUAUUGCUACUUUUUAAUUAUCGCCUGUCAUGUAACCCAUUGCUUUUAAAAUUUUCUAUGUCUAUUUUUAUCCAGUUCACUGUCUUUAUUUUUUCAUUUUUUCCUCUCUAUUCUGCACCCCAUCAGUUCUAAAUUUCUUUUCUAUUUCUCGGUUUUAGUUCACUGUCACUAUUUUUUAAAUUUUUCCUGUCUGUCCCGUGCCCAAUCACUUUUAAAAUUUUCCUUGUCUACUUUUAUCAAGCUGCAUAUCGCUGUUUUUUAAUUCUUUCCUUGCUAUUGUCUACCGUGUUGCUUUUUACAUUUUCCUUCUAUGUCUACUUCAGCCUAAUCACUGCCUUUAUUAUUUCUUUAUUUCCUUAAUCACAGUUGCUUUUAAAACUUUCUGUCUGCUUUUAUCCCAUUCGUGGUCUUUAUUUGCCUACCUUUAUUUUUUAAUUAUUUCUUGUCUUUGCUUAGUGCCUUCGCUUUUUUGAUAUUCUUUCUACGUGUCUGUUUUAGUUCACUGUUCUUAUUUUUUUUAAUAUUUCUUUUAUUUUCCUAAUCCCCCUCACUUUUUAAACAUUCUUUCUGUGCCUACUUUUAUACCCUUUGCUGGCUUUUUAUAAUUAUUUCUUGUCUUUCCUUAGUGCCGUCGCUUUUAAAAUUUUCUUUCUGCAUCUGUUUUAAUUUGCUGUCCUUAUUUCAUAAUUUAUUCCCUCAUUUCCCCAAUUCCUAUUGCUUUUAAAAUGUUCUUUCUAUGCUUCCUUUUUUCCUGUUGAUGUCUUUAUUUUUUUAAUUAUUUGUCUUCCUUUAGUGCCCUUGCUUUUUAGAUUUUCUUUCUACAUCUCUGUUUUAGUUUGCUGUCUCUAUUUCAUAUUUUUUUCCCUUUAUUUCUGUUUUCCUGUCCUGGUUUCAGCUGGGAUAGAGUUAAUUGUCUUCCUAGUAGCUGGUACAGUGCUAUGUUUUUGAGUUAGGUAUGAGAAGAAUGUUGAUAACACUGAUGUUUUCAGUUGUUGCUAAGUAAUGUUUAGACUAAAGUCAAGGAUUUUCCAGCUUCUGAUGCCCAGCCAGCGAAAAAGCUGGAGGGGCACAAGAAGUUGGGAGGGGACAUAGCCAGGGCAGCUGACCCAAAGUGGCCAAUGGGGUAUUCCAUACCAUGUGACGUCACAUCGAGUAUAUAAACUGGGAGGAGUGGGGGUGGGGGGAUCGUUGCUUGGGGACUAACUGGGUAUCAAUCGGUGGGUUGUGAGCAAUUGCAUUGUGCAUCACUUGUAUAUUCUGUUAAGGAAUUUUCUGUCAUGGGUUUCUCUAGGUUUGCUUUAUUAACAACUCAGACUUGGGCCGCUACCGCAGUGAAUGGUGAAAGAUAACUCAAAAACUCCUUCUAUAUAUACAAUUUUACAAAACAUAAUGCAAUUGAUGUCUUGUCAAAAGAAGUUAUUGGUGUUCUUGGUGUUUUUCUAUGAACUUUCAGUUCUCUAUUCUCCAGUGGUUUCAAAAGUCCAAUACAUUUUCCUGUCUCCACUGAUUCUUACUGUCUUGUCCUGGUUCUUCUGAAGUUAGUGGUUGUAGGCAGAAGGUCUCCGGUCACCACUGUCACUUAUCUUCUUACACAUCAAAGAUCACCGUUGAAUUUCUAAGAAUCACUCAGGUUGUUUUAUUAAUUCAUCUUACUCUAAAGUUAAUCACUUACUCUUAUCUAUUCUUAUGUCUUAGGUCUAAGAUGUAUGAUCCUUUUUCUGUUGAUUCAGCUUGACUGGGUUUUAAGCCAGCCAUGGUGAGGGCUACACAAGGGACAAAUAAGCAACUUAUGCAUGUUGUUUUAUAAGCACCUGCAUUCUAUUAAUCACAUCUAAAACAAUCUCUAAUCAUUAGUUAUAUGUCUGAUAUGAAUAGUCUUAGAAACAAUGAGGCUUAAGGCCUAGUUCCCUUUACAUAGUUUAAUCCUUUUAUUAUUACUAUUGUAAUUUUAUUAGUAUUAUCAUUAUUAGUUUCUUCUUUUCUGUUCUAUUAAACCAUUCUUAUCUCAACCCACGACUUUUACUUCUUUUCCCGAUUUUCUCCCCCAUUCCACUGGGUGUGGGGGAAGUGAGUGAGCGGCUGCAUGGUGCUUAGUUGCUAACUGGGGUUAAACCAUGACAGUCCAUUUUGGUGCCCAGUGUGGGGCCCGAAGGGUUGAGAUAAUGACAAACCUGACCAGAGCUUGUUAAAACAAAUUUGUUACAAGCAUUCAUUAUAUUGGUCUAAUAGCUACUGGUCACUAUGUUGAUUUUUGUGUUCUUAGAGUUGUUGCUCUUGUUUUUAAAGUUCUGUUACGUAUCACCUCACUUGCUGUGUGUAGUCCCUGUGCUGCUGCUUAUCAUCCAUGGGAGGCAGAUUAAGGUUUUCGCUUUGAUGUAUUGUGUAAUACUGGCUUAUGGUAUGAUAAAGUUAUCAAUUGUGGGAUUAA